rnacentral:rRNA from 1 species
GGCUGUCGUCAGCUCGUGUCGUGAGAUGUUGAGUUAAGUCCCGCAACGAGCGCAACCCACGUCUUUAGUUGCCAGCAUUCAGUUGGGCACUCUAGAGAGACCGCCGGUGAUAAACCGGAGGAAGGUGUGGAUGACGUCAAGUCAUCAUGCCCCUUACAUCCUGGGCUACACACGUACUACAAUGCUACGGACAAGGGGCAGCAAACUCGCGAGAGCUAGCAAAUCCCAUAAACCGUGGCUCAGUUCAGAUCGUAGGCUGCAACUCGCCUACGUGAAGGAGGAAUCGCUAGUAAUCGCAGGUCAGCAUACUGCGGUGAAUACGUUCCCGGGCCUUGUACACACCGCCCGUCACACCAUGGAAGUUGGCCACGCCCGAAGUCGUUACUCCAACCCUUGUGGAGGAGGAUGCCGAAGGUGGGGCUGAUGACUGGGGUGAAGUCGUAACAAGGUAGCCGUACCGGAAGGUGCGGCUGGAUCACCUCCUAA